rnacentral:ncRNA from 1 species
GGCUUGUGGCAGCGGCAGCCAAGCGGCCAAGCGUUCACAAGCGUUCAUAAGCGUUCAUAGCGGUUCAUAGCGACUAGCGACGUUGCUUUUUGAUCCUUCGAUGUCGGCUCUUCCUAUCAUUGUGAAGCAGAAUUCACCAAGUGUUGGAUUGUUCACCCACCAAUAGGGAACGUGAGCUGGGUUUAGACCCUCGUGAGACAGGUUAGUUUUACCCUACUGAUGA